AAUAUAUUAUUUAAUUUAAUUUAUUUAAUUUAAUAAAUAUAAUUUUUUUUUUUAUUUUAUUUUUUUUUAUAUAAAAAUUAUUUAUAAAAUUAUUUAUAUAUAUAUAUAUAUAUAUUAUGUUUUAUUAUAAAUUUUAAUUAAAAAAUUAUUAUUUAAAUAUAUUUAGUAUUGUAAAAGAAUUUUAUUAAAUUAAUAUAAAAAGAUUUAAUUUAUUUUACCUUUUGUAUCAGGGUUUAUUAAAAUAAUUUAUUUAAAAUAAUUUUUUCGAAAUAAAAUGAGUUAAUUAUUUAUUUAAUUUAUUGUUUAAUUAAUAUUUAAAAUAAAUAAUUUGUUAUUAUAUGUAAUUCGUAUUUUAAAUAUCUAAUUUAUUUAGAAUUAAAUUUAAUUUAUAUAUUAUUUUAUUAAAUUUAUUAUUUUUUAUAAAUUUAUUUAAUUAAUAUAAAUAAUUUAAGGGAUAAUCUUUAAUUUUAUUUAAAUAUAUAUAUAUAUAAUUAAUAUAUGAUAUAUAUAUAUAUAUAUAUAUAUAAUUUAUAUAAUUUAAAAUUUUUAUAAUAAUAAUAAUGUAAUAAUUUAUUUUUUUUUAAUUAUUAAUAUUUAUAAUAAAUAUUUUUUUAAUUAAUAAAUUUAAUUUAUUUAAUAAUUAUUUAAAUAUAAUAAUGAUAAAAUUAGUAAAUUAUUUAUAAUUAUAAAUUUAUUAUAUAUAUAUAUAUAUAUAUAUAUAUAUAUUAUAUUAAGUAAUUAGGCAAAAAAUUAUUCACCUGUUUAUCAAAAACAUGGUUUUUUGAUAUUAAUUUAAAAUUUAAUCUGCUCUAUGAUAAAUUAAAUGGCCGCGGUAAAUUAACUGUGCUAAGGUAGCAUAAUAAAUUGAUUUUUAAUUGAAAUCUUGAAUGAAUGAUUAAAUGAAAUAAUAACUGUCUCAAUAUAAUUUUAUUUAACUUUAUUUUUUUGUUAAAAAUCAUAAUUUUUAUUAAAAGACGAUAAGACCCUAUAGAAUUUUAUAAUAUUUUAUUAAUAUUAAAAUUUAUUAAAAUUAUUAUUUAUUUUAUUUUAUUGGGGUAAUAUAAAAAUUUAUUUAAUUUUUUAAUUAAUAUUUAUACAUUAAAAUUAAUGUAAUUAAUAAUUAAAAUUUUUAUUAAAAAAAUUAAAUAAAUUACCUUAGGGAUAACAGCGUAAUAUUUUUUAGAUAGUACAUAUUGAUAAUAAAGAUUGCGACCUCGAUGUUGAAUUAAGAUAAAUUUUUAUUGAAGUUAAUAAAAAAUUAAGUCUGUUCGACUUUUAAAAUCUUACAUGAUUUGAGUUCAGAUCGGUGUAAGCCAGAUCGGAUUUUAUCUUUAAUUUAAUUAAUUAAUAUUGUACGAAAGGAAUUAUUAAUUUUAAUAAUUUAACUAUUAUUUUGAAUUUAAUU
rnacentral:rRNA from 1 species